GGGCUUGUACUGGUUUCGACGGGGUAUCAAGGAUUUGGGAAGCCAUCCGUGUGGGCACGCGUUAUCAGCCUAACUUAAAAUUAAACGCAGAUAAUAAUCUUGCAUUCGCUGCCUAAUUAGGCAGCCGUAACCUUCAGAUAUCCGACUGUCUGAAGUGCUUGCGUCGAUCAGGUCGGGAACAUCUGUUGCAAAGCUUUGAGCCAUAGAUAGAUUUAUGAAGCUACUCGCGUGAGCGCCUGUUAUUCGGCGUCUCAUAUCGGGGAAUAAAAGAAGAAUAACUGUGAUGGGAGAUGCCUGAAUUUGAGGUAUUUCGGACAGGAGUUCGAUUCUCCUCAGGUCCA
rnacentral:tmRNA from 1 species